GACGAACGCUGGCGGCGUGCUUAAUACAUGCAAGUCGAACGGAAAGGCCCUGCUUUUGUGGGGUGCUCGAGUGGCGAACGGGUGAGUAACACGUGAGUAGCCUGCCCUUGACUUUGGGAUAACUUCAGGAAACUGGGGCUAAUACCGGAUAGGAGCUCCUGCUGCAUGGUGGGGGUUGGAAAGUUUCGGCGGUUGGGGAUGGACUCGCGGCUUAUCAGCUUGUUGGUGGGGUAGUGGCUUACCAAGGCUUUGACGGGUAGCCGGCCUGAGAGGGUGACCGGCCACAUUGGGACUGAGAUACGGCCCAGACUCCUACGGGAGGCAGCAGUGGGGAAUAUUGCACAAUGGGCGGAAGCCUGAUGCAGCAACGCCGCGUGCGGGAUGACGGCCUUCGGGUUGUAAACCGCUUUCGCCUGUGACGAAGCGUGAGUGACGGUAAUGGGUAAAGAAGCACCGGCUAACUACGUGCCAGCAGCCGCGGUGAUACGUAGGGUGCGAGCGUUGUCCGGAUUUAUUGGGCGUAAAGGGCUCGUAGGUGGUUGAUCGCGUCGGAAGUGUAAUCUUGGGGCUUAACCCUGAGCGUGCUUUCGAUACGGGUUGACUUGAGGAAGGUAGGGGAGAAUGGAAUUCCUGGUGGAGCGGUGGAAUGCGCAGAUAUCAGGAGGAACACCAGUGGCGAAGGCGGUUCUCUGGGCCUUUCCUGACGCUGAGGAGCGAAAGCGUGGGGAGCGAACAGGCUUAGAUACCCUGGUAGUCCACGCUGUAAACGGUGGGUACUAGGUGUGGGGUCCAUUCCACGGGUUCCGUGCCGUAGCUAACGCUUUAAGUACCCCGCCUGGGGAGUACGGCCGCAAGGCUAAAACUCAAAGGAAUUGACGGGGCCCCGCACAAGCGGCGGAGCAUGCGGAUUAGUUCGAUGCAACGCGUAGAACCUUACCUGGGUUUGACAUGGAUCGGGAGUGCUCAGAGAUGGGUGUGCCUCUUUUGGGGUCGGUUCACAGGUGGUGCAUGGCUGUCGUCAGCUCGUGUCGUGAGAUGUUGGGUUAAGUCCCGCAACGAGCGCAACCCUUGUUCACUGUUGCCAGCACGUUAUGGUGGGGACUCAGUGGAGACCGCCGGGGUCAACUCGGAGGAAGGUGGGGAUGACGUCAAGUCAUCAUGCCCCUUAUGUCCAGGGCUUCACGCAUGCUACAAUGGCUGGUACAGAGAGUGGCGAGCCUGUGAGGGUGAGCGAAUCUCGGAAAGCCGGUCUCAGUUCGGAUUGGGGUCUGCAACUCGACCUCAUGAAGUCGGAGUCGCUAGUAAUCGCAGAUCAGCAACGCUGCGGUGAAUACGUUCCCGGGGCU
rnacentral:rRNA from 1 species